rnacentral:rRNA from 1 species
UGGGGAAUAUUGCACAAUGGGCGAAAGCCUGAUGCAGCGACGCCGCGUGCGGGAUGAAGGCCUUCGGGUUGUAAACCGCUUUUAAUUGGGAGCAAGCGAGAGUGAGUGUACCUUUUGAAUAAGCACCGGCUAACUACGUGCCAGCAGCCGCGGUAAUACGUAGGGUGCAAGCGUUAUCCGGAAUUAUUGGGCGUAAAGAGCUCGUAGGCGGUUUGUCACGCCUGGUGUGAAAGUCCAUCGCUUAACGGUGGAUCUGCGCCGGGUACGGGCAGGCUAGAGUGCAGUAGGGGAGAUUGGAAUUCCCGGUGUAACGGUGGAAUGUGUAGAUAUCGGGAAGAACACCAAUGGCGAAGGCAGAUCUCUGGGCUGUUACUGACGCUGAGGAGCGAAAGCAUGGGGAGCGAACAGGAUUAGAUACCCGUGGUAGUCCAUGCCGUAAACGGUGGAUGCUGGAUGUGGGACCCUUCCACGGGUUCCGUGUCGGAGCUAACGCGUUAAGCAUCCCCGCCUGGGGAGUACGGCCGCAAGGC